rnacentral:rRNA from 1 species
AGGACGAACGCUGGCGGCGUGCUUAACACAUGCAAGUCGAGCGGAAAGGCCUUUCGGGGUACUCGAGCGGCGAACGGGUGAGUAACACGUGAGUAAUCUGCCCAUCGCUUCAGGAUAGCCAUCGGAAACGGUGAUUAAUACUGGAUAUGACACUCCUUCGCAUGUUGGGGUGUGGAAAGUUUUUUCGGCGGUGGAUGUGCUCGCGGCCUAUCAGCUUGUUGGUGGGGUAAUGGCCUACCAAGGCUUUGACGGGUAGCCGGCCUGAGAGGGUGACCGGCCACACUGGGACUGAGACACGGCCCAGACUCCUACGGGAGCAGCAGUGGGGAAUAGUUGGGACAAAGUGGGGCGAAAAGCCUAGAUCCAGCAAU